UUUAAACAAAAUGCAGGUGUCGAUAACGUGCAUAUUUGUUGCCUUCCUAAUUGGAGUGCACUCAAAGGAUGACCCACCAAUUGUGCAGACUUCAGCUGGGCCCGUCCUCGGAACCCAAACCACCAUCAGUUCCAACCUAACAAUAUUCUCCUUCAAAGGAAUACCAUAUGCCGAGCCUCCAGUGGGUAACUUACGUUUCGAGCCACCAGUACCAAAAUCCCCGUGGAACCAAACCAUAAACGCCACCGACUUCCGAAGCUCGUGCAUCCAAGAGGAUGGAACGGGUGCCGAAGACUGCCUCUACGUCAACGUCUACAGCCCAAACCUCACAGGUAAUUUGCCUGUUAUGGUCUGGAUUUACGGUGGUACCUUCGUAUCGGGUGCCGGCACAGAGGACCCCGCCUACAUUGUGGACAAAAACGUGGUGUUCGUGGCGUUCAACUAUCGACUGGGGCUGUUCGGGUUUAUCAGUACAGGAGACCUGGUGGCCCCAGGAAAUGCCGGACUUAAGGACCAGGUGCUGGCUUUGAAGUGGGUGCAAAGCAACAUCGCCAAAUUCGGUGGUAACCCUAGGAACGUCACCAUUUGGGGUGAAAGCGCUGGAGCCGUUUCCGUUUCGUAUUUGGUGCAGUCGAAUUUGACGGCAGGUUUAUUCCAGGGUGCCAUCAUGGAAAGCGGUACGACUCUCAUACCUUGGGCUUUGACCAGCAACGCCAGGGAAACUGCUUUCAAUGUGGGUGAGAAAUUGUUAAUCUUCACAUCUGACUCCAGAACGUUGAUCAACGCGUUGAAGCAAGUGGAUGCGAAUAAACUACAUCAGUUUUCUUCCGUCAAUUAUUUGUUCCUUAUUCCUGUGAGGAACCCUUUGAACGGCCUACCAUACGGGCCAGUCAUGGAACCAGAUCAUGAAGGUGCAGUAUUUUCAAGUAAAAGUUAUGAAUUGCUGCAAAACGGCAAUUUCCACAAGGUUCCGAUGAUUAUUGGUUACAAUUCGGAAGAGGCAGUCUAUGUUUCACAGAUUCCAGAUUUGCUCAAGUGGUUACUGAUAAAGUACGAUUACCAACCAACAAGCUUGGUACCCAACGAUAUGAACGUCAAAUCAAGUUUUGUUAAGUGGAUAGUGGGCAACAUUAUUAAAUUCCAUUACUUCGGGCUGGAUCUAAUUCUGUCCAGCAGCUCAAAACUUGCACAAUUUGUCAGUGAUGACCAAUUCAAUCGACCAGUCAAUGAGCAAGUCCGACUUCAAUCAAUGUUCACUCCAGUUUACUUCUACGUUUUCUCUUACCAAGGUGUUUUGGGAACCACAACGAACAGAACCAUGCCUGGUGUGGGACACGCUGAAGAAUUACGGUACUUAUUUAAGGGUAAUCAAACCAACGUUGAUGCAUCAGAUCAAAGAACCAUUCGAAGAAUGACCACCAUGUGGACCAACUUUGCAAAAUUUGGGACACCAACACCAAACCAAGACUCAUUGUUGAAUGAUGUGAUUUGGGAACCUGCCAGAUCAUCAAAUUCAUCAUCGGAUCUGACCUAUUUGAACAUAGGAUCGAAUUUGAAUCUUGGAGUGAAUCCUAAUCACCAAGCUGUACAAUUCUAUCAAUACUUGUAUAAAAUGUUUGGGAACCCACCUUACACUACAUAUUAGCUUUGUUAUUUUGAGGAAAAUAAUUGACAAAUGCAAAUAAAUAAAAUGUUAUAAUUAGCAUAAUACAUCUUCUCCACGUUAUUAACACCAAGUUUAAAACAAAUUGAAAUUAAAAGUCACUCCAGUUUGUACUGAUUUCCAAAAAUUAUGGAACCACGAGGAGUUUAAAGAAACGUCAUUCUUAUGCAGUAUUCUGAUUAGUAAAUGUUAAAUCUUAUUUAAGUGACAUUUUGUGUAAAUAAAUUGGCACUCAAUUACAGGCGUAAGUCACCAUUAUCUUGAAUAAUUGUUCAACACUCAACUUCUAGGUUUGCCCAAGUGGUUACUGAUAAAUUACGAUUACCUACCAACAAGCUUGGUACCAAAGGACAUGAACGUUAAAUCAAGUUUUGUUAAGUGGAUAGUGGGCAACAUUAUUAAAUUCCAUUACUUCGGGCUGGAUCUAAUUCUGUCCAGCAGCUCAAAACUUGCACAAUUUGUCAGUGAUGACCAAUUCAAUCGACCAGUCAAUGAGCAAGUCCGACUUCAAUCAAUGUUCAGUCCAGUUUACUUCUACGUUUUCACCUGCCAAGGUGUUUUAGGAACCACAACGAACAGAACCAUGCCUGGUGUGGGACACGCUGAAGAAUUACGGUACUUAUUUAAGGGCAACCAAACCAACGUUGAUGCAUCAGAUCUAAGAACCAUUCGAAGGAUGACCACAAUGUGGACCAACUUUGCAAAAUUUGG